rnacentral:rRNA from 1 species
CCGGUUGAUCCUGCCGGAGGCUACUGCCAUCAGAGUUCGAUUAAGCCAUGUUAGUCGAGGGUGCUUCUUCUUCGGAAGAAGUAACCCGGCGGACGGCUCAGUAACACGUGGAUAACUUGCCCUUGGGUCCGGGAUAACCCCUGAGAAAUUGGGGACAAUACCGGAUAGGGCAUCGAUAGCUGGAAUGCACGAUGUCCAAAAGCUGAGGCGCCCAAGGAUAGGUCUGCGGCUGAUUAGGUUGUUGUUGAUGUAAUGGAUCAACAAGCCUGCAAUCGGUACGGGUUGUGAGAGCAAGAGCCCGGAGAUGGGUUCUGAGAAAAGAACCCAGGUCCUACGGGACGCAUCAGGCGCGAAAACUUUACAAUGUGCGAAAGCACGAUAAGGGAACUCUGAGUGCCUCCUAUGGAGGCUGUUCAGGUGUCUAAAAAGCACUUGAAGUAAGGGCUGGGUAAGACCGGUGCCAGCCGCCGCGGUAACACCGGCAGCCCAAGUGGUAGCCACGAUUAUUGGGUCUAAAGCGUCCGUAGCCGGCCAGGUAAGUUCUUUGGGAAAUUUAACCGCUCAACGGUUAAGCUUUCAGGGAAUACUGCCUGGCUUGGGACCGGGAGAGGUCAGAGGUACUUCAAGGGUAGGGGUGAAAUCCGUUAAUCCUUGA